CCACUAAGUAAUGCCACCCUGAACAAGCUGGAUCCUGUCUGAUCUCGGAAGCUAAGCAGAGUUGGGCCUGGUUAGUACUUGGAUGGGAGACCACGUAGGAAGACCAGGUGCUAUAGGC
rnacentral:rRNA from 1 species